rnacentral:rRNA from 1 species
GACGGAGGGCGCAAGCGUUGUUCGGAAUUACUGGGCGUAAAGCGCACGCAGGUGGCUGUUUAAGUCCACUGUGAAACUCCGGGGCUCAACUCCGGACAUGCAGUGCAUACUGGAGGGCUGGAGACCGGUAGAGGCUAGCGGGAUUCCAGGGGUAGCGGUGGAAUGGGUAGAUAUAUGGAAGAACAUCAGUGGCGGAGGCGGCUAGCUGGGACGGUUCGCACACUCAUGUGCGAGAGCGUGGGGAGCAAACCGG